UGUUACGUGUGUCGUACAAACAUAGCCUUGGUAGAUUAUGCGUUUUCCCCUUGUGUUGGAUGUUUGCUUACAUCUGAUCAUGGUUGUGGGUGGCCUAUAUAGACACCUGGGAAUGGUAUAAGUGAAUACUCAUAGGAACAUAUACAAAUUUGAAGAAUGUGGGGGUUUAUAAAGCGCAUGACCAACAGGUGUUCAAUUUAAGCUUAUUCAUCUGCCACAUAUAUUGAUUUCCCAACUGUGUACACACACCAAACCUAUACGGUAGUGUGUGUGUGUGUGUGUAGUCAGGCUGCUACAGCUGCUCAAGGAUCAAUCAAGUGCAAGUCUAUAUAGGCUUCUAGUCAUGUUUUCUUGGGUGGAUUUGCAAAUAUCGCUUGGUUCUUGAGUUAUGCCUACUUGGAGUGCCAUGGCAGCUUUUUCAGAAGAGUGCAUAGAAAAACUUGUCCAUGGAGUGUUGCUACUCUACUUAGUAGUUAGCUCUGCCACUAGAACGCUAGCUGCAAGAGCUGCAAAGCUGCGCUUACACGUAGCUGCUUCAUGCAGCAGCCAGUAAUUGUAUGGACUUCGAAUUCUUUUUAGCAACGAUCAUGGUCGAUCAAUGUAAAUUUACUAGCUACAUGUAGAUGUAGUAGCUCAUGUCUGUCAUAUAGCUUUGGUGCCUCCAUCGAGGCAUCAGCAUCCGCGGUGCUUUGAUUAUAGUUCCCCCACACACACCCACACACACACACACACACACAGUGAUGGUCCUGCUAGUGUCCCCGUACGUGGAGCACCACUGUCUACGAGAGAGGACCCUCACCUACCUCUCUAAACAGUACCCCUGGGUGCUCAGAAAGGCUACCUCAAUGUGGAUCUUCAUCAAGACUAUCAGUUGCCCUCUCCCGCAAGCCUCCUCACAUCCAGUCAGCUCAUAGGGUCAGUGGACUCAUGCUCGCCAACCACACCAGCAUGGCAUCACCAGUUGUGGACAGCUUGACAAGCUGAGAAAGAUUUCUCGGAUUAAUUCAAGAAAUAGCUGGAUGACUCACGAAGGGUAGUCCAAGAGGUUGCCCUCUCCCGCAAGCCUCCCCACAUCCAGUCAGCUCAUAGGGUCAGUGGACUCAUGCUCGCCAACCACACCAGCAUGGCCUCACCAGCUUGAUGACUCACGGAGGGUGGUCCAAGAGGUCAUUGAUGAGUACAGAGCCUCCACUGAGCCAGACUACAUCACCAGGGGAACAUCAAUAGGACUUAGUGCAUGGUGCCACGCCCCAAGAUUCUGCUAUGACUUACAAAAUGAACAUUUCCACUACAAAGUUAUAACUCUUGUCUAAUCUUAUUGUUUGAGUGUGCAUCCAGCUUUCACAUCGCUGUAUGUGACUAUAGACAAUACUGUAUACAAAUGUAACUGCAUGCAUGCACAUCAUUAGUUCUGAUUAAU